ACAGUAGGUGCAUGACUUGAUCUACCCUCUGGGUGCAUUCUGUGUAGAACAUUUUACAAAUGUUUGGCAUGAAGUUAUGACAGAGCUCAGGUACGUGUGGCUGUGAGCCACAUUCGAAUAAAAUAGGCCAUCAUAUACAGUAGAGUGAUCAGCCACUCCAGUUACCGUACGUAAAAGGCUUAAAUUAUAACUAGAGACAAUUUUAGCCUCUAUAAGUUCUGCCCCUUACACGUUGUGUG